CUGCGAAUGGCUCAUUAUAUAAGUUAUCGUUUAUUUGAUAGUACCUUACUACUUGGAUAACCGUGGUAAUUCUAGAGCUAAUACAUGCUAAAAAUCCCGACUUCGGAAGGGAUGUAUUUAUUAGAUUAAAAACCAAUGCCCUCUGGGCUCUUUGGUGAUUCAUGAUAACUUCUCGAAUCGCACGGCCUUGCGCCGGCGAUGGUUCAUUCAAAUUUCUUCCCUAUCAACUUUCGAUGUUUGGGUAUUGGCCAAACAUGGUUGCAACGGGUAACGGAGGGUUAGGGCUCGACCCCGGAGAAGGAGCCUGAGAAACGGCUACUACAUCCAAGGAAGGCAGCAGGCGCGCAAAUUACCCAAUCCCGACACGGGGAGGUAGUGACAAUAAAUACUGAUACAGGGCUCUUUUGGGUCUUGUAAUUGGAAUGAGUACAAUUUAAAUCCCUUAACGAGGAACAAUUGGAGGGCAAGUCUGGUGCCAGCAGCCGCGGUAAUUCCAGCUCCAAUAGCGUAUAUUAAAGUUGUUGUGGUUAAAAAGCUCGUAGUUGAACCUUGGGCCUGGCUGGCCGGUCCGCCUCACCGCGUGUACUGGUCCGGCCGGGCCUUUCCCUCUGUGGAACCUCAUGCCCUUCACUGGGUGUGACGGGGAAACAGGACUUUUACUUUGAAAAAAUUAGAGUGCUCCAGGCAGGCCUAUGCUCGAAUACAUUAGCAUGGAAUAAUGAAAUAGGACGUGUGGUUCUAUUUUGUUGGUUUCUAGGACCGCCGUAAUGAUUAAUAGGGACAGUCGGGGGCAUCAGUAUUCAAUUGUCAGAGGUGAAAUUCUUGGAUUUAUUGAAGACUAACUACUGCGAAAGCAUUUGCCAAGGAUGUUUUCAUUAAUCAGGAACGAAAGUUAGGGGAUCGAAGACGAUCAGAUACCGUCGUAGUCUUAACCAUAAACUAUGCCGACUAGGGAUCGGACGAUGUUAUUUUUUGACGCGUUCGGCACCUUACGAGAAAUCAAAGUGC
rnacentral:rRNA from 1 species